rnacentral:rRNA from 1 species
CCCUACGGGGGGCAGCAGUGAGGAAUAUUGGUCAAUGGACGAGAGUCUGAACCAGCCAAGUAGCGUGAAGGAUGACUGCCCUAUGGGUUGUAAACUUCUUUUAUAAAGGAAUAAAACGAGGCACGUGUGCCUUUUUGCAUGUACUUUAUGAAUAAGGAUCGGCUAACUCCGUGCCAGCAGCCGCGGUAAUACGGAGGAUCCGAGCGUUAUCCGGAUUUAUUGGGUUUAAAGGGUGCGCAGGCGGAUUUUUAAGUCAGCGGUCAAAUCGUGGGGCUCAACCCCAUCCAGCCGUUGAAACUGGGGAU